UUCCUACUCCCUCCAUUUCAAAUUACUUGUCGCAGGUAUGGAUGUAUCUAGAUGUAUUUUAGUUCUAGAUACAUCCUUUUCUGCGAUAAGUAAUUUGGAACAAAAGGAGUACUUU
rfam:Triticum aestivum genome assembly, contig: Triticum_aestivum_CS42_TGACv1_scaffold_197883_3AL